AUUCUGAUAUUGUUAGUCCGAAUUUAUUUUCAUCAUGGCCUCAGGUUUUAGUCCACGUUCUUCUUGUGUUCUGCAGUCUACAGAGCAAGAUAUCACAUUCCAUCGACAAUCAACAUCGCUUAUAUAUCCUCGAUAAAAUGGACUAGCAGCAGUUACAGCCAACUGUCGAAUUUUAAACAAAUGUUCUGUAACGUAUGUGCGAAAGAAUAUGCUAACUUCAUGUCUUCAGAAUUUAUGAAAACAUAAUUAUUAUUUACAUAUUACUGACCAUUAUUGGACAUAAAGGUGUUAAUUGAUCAUAUAAAGUUCUUGCUUCUUCUAUAUUGCAAGCCUGGAAA